UCAGUAACGGCGAGUGAAGCGGCAACAGCUCAAAUUUGAAAUCUGGCCCUUCCAGGGWCCGAGUUGUAAUUUGUAGAGGAUGUUUCGGGCGCGGCGCCGGUCUAAGUUCCUUGGAACGGGGCGUCAUAGAGGGUGAGAAUCCCGUAUGUGACCGGUGACCAAGCCCGUGUGAAACUCCUUCGACGAGUCGAGUUGUUUGGGAAUGCAGCUCAAAAUGGGUGGUAAAUUUCAUCUAAAGCUAAAUACCGGCCAGAGACCGAUAGCGCACAAGUAGAGUGAUCGAAAGAUGAAAAGCACUUUGGAAAGAGAGUCAAAAAGUACGUGAAAUUGUUGAAAGGGAAGCGCUUGCAACCAGACCUGCCCGCGAGCGAUCAGCCGUCCUUUUGGGCGGUGCAUGCGCCCGCGAGCAGGCCAGCAUCGGUUCCGGCGGUCGGAUAAAGGCCUUGGGAAYGUAGCUCCUUUCGGGGAGUGUUAUAGCCAUGGUGCAAUGCGACCAGCCGGGAUCGAGGACCGCGCUUCGGCGAGGAUGCUGGCGUAAUGGUUGUAAGCGGCCCGUCUUGAAACACGGACCAAGGAGUCUAACAUCUGUGCGAGUGUUUGGGUGUCAAACCCAUGCGCGUAAUGAAAGUGAACGGAGGUGGGAACCCCUCCAGGGCGCACCAUCGACCGAUCCAGAUGUCCUCGGAUGGAUUUGAGUACGAGCAUAGCUGUUGGGACCCGAAAGAUGGUGAACUAUGCCUGAAUAGGGUGAAGCCAGAGGAAACUCUGGUGGAGGCUCGCAGCGGUUCUGACGUGCAAAUCGAUCGUCAAAUUUGGGUAUAGGGGCGAAAGACUAAUCGAACCAUCUAGUAGCUGG
rnacentral:rRNA from 1 species